AAGCCAACCCUCAAUAACUUGGCGCCUCGUGGCGCGACCUCCUCUUCUGGAGAGGGCGCGCUGCGGGGUGACUUGGUGCUACCUUAACAAUAUUCCGAAGCUCUUCGGGUGCUUGCUCUUCGGGAUACUCGGGGUACUUACUUGGGCGUCCUCCUCCUCUUCAAGGCUGCAUUCAGCUCC
rnacentral:rRNA from 1 species